AUGCUCUAUCCAUUUUAUGGAAGCUAUACAAAAAUUCUCACAAUUUUUGAACCAGCACAUGAUUUAAUACAUAAAAUCAAACAUAAUACAAAAACUGCAUAAAAGAAAAGAGAAAAAAAAACAGCACUGUGCUUCACUGACGGCCUGCUUGGACCCGGCCCAAGGCGGCCCGCGAGCACUCCCCCGCGCGAACUGCGCGCGCCCCUCCACACGCGACCACUGACGGGC
rnacentral:lncRNA from 1 species